rnacentral:rRNA from 1 species
UACGUAGGGGGCUAGCGUUGUCCGGAAUCAUUGGGCGUAAAGCGCGUGUAGGCGGUUCGGUAAGUCCGCUGUGAAAGUCGGGGGCUCAACCCUCGGAUGCCGGUGGAUACUGUCAGACUAGAGUACGGAAGAGGCGAGUGGAAUUCCUGGUGUAGCGGUGAAAUGCGCAGAUAUCAGGAGGAACACCGAUUGCGAAGGCAGCUCGCUGGGACGUUACUGACGCUGAGACGCGAAAGCGUGGGGAGCAAACAGG